GACGAACGCUGGCGGCGUGCUUAACACAUGCAAGUCGAACGGAAAGGCCCUGCUUUUGUGGGGUGCUCGAGUGGCGAACGGGUGAGUAACACGUGAGUAACCUGCCCUUGACUUUGGGAUAACUUCAGGAAACUGGGGCUAAUACCGGAUAGGAGCUCCUGCUGCAUGGUGGGGGUUGGAAAGUUUCGGCGGUUGGGGAUGGACUCGCGGCUUAUCAGCUUGUUGGUGGGGUAGUGGCUUACCAAGGCUUUGACGGGUAGCCGGCCUGAGGGGGUGACCGGCCACAUUGGGACUGAGAUACGGCCCAGACUCCUACGGGAGGCAGCAGGGGGGAAUAUUGCACAAUGGGCGGAAGCCUGAUGCAGCAACGCCGCGUGCGGGAUGACGGCCUUCGGGUUGUAAACCGCUUUCGCCUGUGACGAAGCGUGAGUGACGGUAAUGGGGAAAGAAGCACCGGCUAACUACGU
rnacentral:rRNA from 1 species